rnacentral:rRNA from 1 species
CAGUCGCCGCGGAAAUGCGUAGGUGGCAAGCGUUGUCCGGAAUUAUUGGGCGUAAAGGGCUCGCAGGCGGUUUCUUAAGUCUGAUGUGAAAACCCCCGGCUCAACCGGGGAGGGUCAUUGGAAACUGGGAAACUUGAGUGCAGAAGAGGAGAGUGGAAUUCCACGUGUAGCGGUGAAAUGCGUAGAGAUGUGGAGGAACACCAGUGGCGAAGGCGACUCUCUGGUCUGUAACUGACGCUGAGGAGCGAAAGCGUGGGGAGCGAACAGGAUUAGAUACCCCUGUAGUCCCUGUCUCUUAUAC